rnacentral:rRNA from 1 species
UACGUAGGCAGCGAGCGUUGUUCGGAAUUACUGGGCGUAAAGAGUGUGUAGGCGGUGCUCUAAGUUCGGUGUGAAAUCUCCCGCUUAACUGGGAGGGUGCGCCGGAAACUGGAGUGCUCGAGCGUGGGAGAGGAAAGCGGAAUUCCUGGGUGUAGCGGUGAAAUGCGUAGAUAUCAGGAGGAACACCUGCGGUGUAGACGGC